CAGCGCCACGAGUGGGGAUCAUUUUUAUUUGGCCUAAAGCGUCCGUAGCUGGUUUAGUAAAUCUUUUGUGAAAUCGUUCGGCUUAACCGAACGGCGUGCAGGAGAGACUGCUAGACUAGGGACCGGGAGGAGUCAGAGGUAUGCUGUGGGGAGCGGUAAAAUGCUAUAAUCCUCAGUAGACCACCUGUGGCGAAGGCGUCUGACUAGAACGGGUCCGACAGUGAGGGACGAAAGCCAGGGGAGCAAACCGGAUUAGAUACCCGAGUAGCC
rnacentral:rRNA from 1 species